rnacentral:rRNA from 1 species
GCUGGCGGCACGCCUAACACAUGCAAGUCGAACGAAGUAGCAAUACUUAGUGGCAGACGGGUGAGUAACAUGUAGGUAUCUGCCCUUUGGCCUGGAAUAACACGAGGAAACUUGUGCUAAUACCGGAUAAGUCUUUACGGAGAAAGCUUUAUGCACCAUUGGAUGAGCCUGCACUUGAUUAGUUUGUUGGUGGGGUAAUGGCCUACCAAGACUGUGAUCAAUAGCUGAUUUGAGAGGAUGAUCAGCCACAUUGGGACUGAGACACGGCCCAAACUCCUACGGGAGGCAGCAGUGGGGAAUCUUGCACAAUGGAGGAAACUCUGAUGCAGCGAUGCCGCGUGAGUGAAGAAGGCCUUUGGGUUGUAAAGCUCUUUCGUCGGGGAAGAAAAUGACUGUACCCGAAUAAGAAGGUCCGGCUAACUUCGUGCCAGCAGCCGCGGUAAUACGAAGGGACCUAGCGUAGUUCGGAAUUACUGGGCUUAAAGAGUUCGUAGGUGGUUGAAAAAGUUGGUGGUGAAAUCCCAGAGCUUAACUCUGGAACUGCCAUCAAAACUUUUCAGCUAGAGUAUGAUAGAGGAAAGCAGAAUUUCUAGUGUAGAGGUGAAAUUCGUAGAUAUUAGAAAGAAUACCAAUUGCGAAGGCAGCUUUCUGGAUCAUUACUGACACUGAGGAACGAAAGCAUGGGUAGCGAAGAGGAUUAGAUACCCUCGUAGUCCAUGCCGUAAACGAUGUGUGUUAGACGUUGGAAAUUUAUUUUCAGUGUCGCAGCGAAAGCGAUAAACACACCGCCUGGGGAGUACGACCGCAAGUAAACUAAUGAUGACGU